rnacentral:rRNA from 1 species
UACGGAGGGUGCAAGCGUUAUCCGGAUUCACUGGGUUUAAAGGGUGCGUAGGUGGGUUGGUAAGUCAGUGGUGAAAUCUCCGUGCUUAACAUGGAAACUGCCAUUGAUACUACUGAUCUUGAAUUUUCAGGAGGUAAGCGGAAUAUGUCAUGUAGCGGUGAAAUGCUUAGAUAUGACAUAGAACACCGAUUGCGAAGGCAGCUAACUACGGGAUGAUUGACACUGAUGCACGAAAGCGUGGGGAUCAAACAGG